rnacentral:rRNA from 1 species
AAACCAACCGGGAUUGCCUUAGUAACGGCGAGUGAAGCGGCAAAAGCUCAAAUUUGAAAUCUGGUACCUUCGGUGCCCGAGUUGUAAUUUGGAGAGGGCAACUUUGGGGCCGUUCCUUGUCUAUGUUCCUUGGAACAGGACGUCAUAGAGGGUGAGAAUCCCGUGUGGCGAGGAGUGCGGUUCUUUGUAAAGUGCCUUCGAAGAGUCGAGUUGUUUGGGAAUGCAGCUCUAAGUGGGUGGUAAAUUCCAUCUAAAGCUAAAUAUUGGCGAGAGACCGAUAGCGAACAAGUACAGUGAUGGAAAGAUGAAAAGAACUUUGAAAAGAGAGUGAAAAAGUACGUGAAAUUGUUGAAAGGGAAGGGCAUUUGAUCAGACAUGGUGUUUUGUGCCCUCUGCUCCUUGUGGGUAGGGGAAUCUCGCAUUUCACUGGGCCAGCAUCAGUUUUGGUGGCAGGAUAAAUCCAUAGGAAUGUAGCUUGCCUCGGUAAGUAUUAUGGCCUGUGGGAAUACUGCCAGCUGGGACUGAGGACUGCGACGUAAGUCAAGGAUGCUGGCAUAAUGGUUAUAUGCCGC